rnacentral:rRNA from 1 species
UACGUAGGGGGCAAGCGUUGUCCGGAUUUAUUGGGCGUAAAGAGCGUGUAGGCGGUUUGGUAGGUCCGCUGUGAAAACUCGAGGCUCAACCUCGAGACGCCGGUGGAAACCAUCAGGCUAGAGUCCGGAAGAGGAGAGUGGAAUUCCUGGUGUAGCGGUGAAAUGCGCAGAUAUCAGGAAGAACACCCGUGGCUAAGGCGGCUCUCUAGUACGGUACUGACGCUAAGACGCGAAAGCGUGGGGAGCGAACAGG